rnacentral:rRNA from 1 species
UGGGUAGGGGAGCGUCGUGUGCCGGGUGAAGCAGCGCCGGAAGGUAGUUGUGGACGGUUCACGAGUGAGAAUGCAGGCAUGAGUAGCGAUACACACGUGGGAAACGUGUGCGCCGAUUGACUAAGGGUUCCUGGGUCAAGCUGAUCUGCCCAGGGUAAGUCGGGACCUAAGGCGAGGCCGACAGGCGUAGUCGAUGGACAACCGGUUGAUAUUCCGGUACCCGCUUUGAAGCGCCAAACAUCGAAUCCUCUGAUGCUAAGGCCGUGAAGCCGCCCUGGAGUCUUCGGACAAAGGGGAGUGGUGGAGCCGCUGAUCCAAGGUGGUAGUAGGUGAGUGAUGGGGUGACGCAGGAAGGUAGUCCAGCCCGGGCGGUGGUUGUCCCGGGGUAAGGGUGUAGGACGCACGGUAGGCAAAUCCGUCGUGCAUGAAGUCUGAGACCUGAUGCCGAGCCGAUUGUGGUGAAGUGGAUGAUCCUAUGCUGUCGAGAAAAGCCUCUAGCGAGUUUCAUGGCGGCCCGUACCCUAAACCGACUCAGGUGGUCAGGUAGAGAAUACCGAGGCGUUCGGGUGAACUAUGGUUAAGGAACUCGGCAAAAUGCCCCCGUAACUUCGGGAGAAGGGGGGCCACGGCUGGUGAUCACCCUUGCGGUGUGAGCUGGUGGUGGCCGCAGAGACCAGCGAGAAGCGACUGUUUACUAAAAACACAGGUCCGUGCGAAGCCGUAAGGCGAUGUAUACGGACUGACGCCUGCCCGGUGCUGGAACGUUAAGGGGACCGGUUAGCUCCAUUUCGGUGGGGCGAAGCUGAGAACUUAAGCGCCAGUAAACGGCGGUGGUAACUAUAACCAUCCUAAGGUAGCGAAAUUCCUUGUCGGGUAAGUUCCGACCUGCACGAAUGGCGUAACGACUUCUCGACUGUCUCAACCAUAGGCCCGGUGAAAUUGCACUACGAGUAAAGAUGCUCGUUUCGCGCAGCAGGACGGAAAGACCCCGGGACCUUUACUAUAGCUUGAUAUUGGUGUUUGGUUCGGCUUGUGUAGGAUAGGUGGGAGACUGUGAAGCCGUGACGCCAGUCAUGGUGGAGUCGUUGUUGAAAUACCACUCUGGUCGUGCUGGAUGUCUAACCUGGGUCCGUGAUCCGGAUCAGGGACAGUGUCUGGUGGGUAGUUUAACUGGGGCGGUUGCCUCCUAAAGGGUAACGGAGGCGCCCAAAGGUUCCCUCAGCCUGGUUGGCAAUCAGGUGUUGAGUGUAAGUGCACAAGGGAGCUUGACUGUGAGACUGACGGGUCGAGCAGGUACGAAAGUAGGGACUAGUGAUCCGGCGGUGGCUUGUGGAAGCGCCGUCGCUCAACGGAUAAAAGGUACCCCGGGGAUAACAGGCUGAUCUUCCCCAAGAGUCCAUAUCGACGGGAUGGUUUGGCACCUCGAUGUCGGCUCGUCGCAUCCUGGGGCUGGAGUCGGUCCCAAGGGUUGGGCUGUUCGCCCAUUAAAGCGGUACGCGAGCUGGGUUUAGAACGUCGUGAGACAGUUCGGUCCCUAUCCGCUGUGCGCGUAGGAGUCUUGAGAAGGGCUGUCCCUAGUACGAGAGGACCGGGACGGACGAACCUCUGGUGUGCCAGUUGUUCUGCCAAGGGCAUGGCUGGUUGGCUACGUUCGGAAAGGAUAACCGCUGAAAGCAUCUAAGCGGGAAGCCUGCUUCGAGAUGAGGGCUCCCUCCCACUUGAUGGGGUAAGGCUCCCAGUAGACGACUGGGUUGAUAGGCCAGAUAUGGAAGACCGGUAACGGUUGGAGUUGACUGGUACUAAUAGGCCGAGGGCUUGUCCUC